rnacentral:rRNA from 1 species
GAUGAACGCUGGCGGCGUGCCUAAUACAUGCAAGUCGAGCGAACAGACGAGGAGCUUGCUCCUCUGACGUUAGCGGCGGACGGGUGAGUAACACGUGGAUAACCUACCUAUAAGACUGGGAUAACUUCGGGAAACCGGAGCUAAUACCGGAUAAUAUAUUGAACCGCAUGGUUCAAUAGUGAAAGACGGUUUUGCUGUCACUUAUAGAUGGAUCCGCGCCGCAUUAGCUAGUUGGUAAGGUAACGGCUUACCAAGGCAACGAUGCGUAGCCGACCUGAGAGGGUGAUCGGCCACACUGGAACUGAGACACGGUCCAGACUCCUACGGGAGGCAGCAGUAGGGAAUCUUCCGCAAAGGGCGAAAGCCUGACGGAGCAACGCCGCGUGAGUGAUGAAGGUCUUCGGAUCGUAAGACUCUGUUAUUAGGGAAGAACAAAUGUGUAAGUAACUAUGCACGUCUUGACGGUACCUAAUCAGAAAGCCACGGCUAACUACGUG